rnacentral:rRNA from 1 species
AUUGAACGCUGGCGGCGUGCCUUACACAUGCAAGUCGAACGUGAAAGUACUUUCGGGUACGAGUAAAGUGGCGCACGGGUGAGUAACGCGUGGAUAAUCUACCAAGAAGUUUGGGAUAACAGCUGGAAACGGCUGCUAAUACCGAAUACGCUGCAUAUCUAUCUUAUGUGGGAAAGAUGGCCUCUGCAUAUGCUGUUGCUUUUUGAUGAGUCCGCGUACCAUUAGCUGGUUGGUGGGGUAAAGGCCUACCAAGGCGACGAUGGUUAACUGGUCUGAGAGGAUGAUCAGUCACACUGGAACUGGAACACGGUCCAGACUCCUACGGGAGGCAGCAGUGGGGAAUAUUGCGCAAUGGGCGAAAGCCUGACGCAGCGACGCCGCGUGAGGGAUGAAGGUCUUCGGAUCGUAAACCUCCGUCAGCAGGGAAGAACGGUCACUGUGCUA